rnacentral:siRNA from 1 species
ACGAUCCUAUGAGUUAGCAACUU